rnacentral:tRNA from 1 species
GCACCCGUAGCUCAAUUGGAUAGAGCGUCUGACUACGGAUCAGAAGGUUGGGGAUUCGAGUUCUCCCGGGUGCACCA